rnacentral:lncRNA from 1 species
UGUCUUCCAAAGGGUGUUUGUUGACCUCAAGCAAGAAGAGUCUACAGUUCACUGAUAUUUCACAGUCAGAGUUCUACUGAAGUCAAUACGUGUAUUACUUUGAUAUGACUUUAUUUGAGAUUGAGUUAAACUCAUGGCAAUCAAAUGGCUUUGGAAGCUCAUUCAUCACAAGAGACAGCUUAGAAGAAUGUUCUCUUAGGGCUUAAAGAUGCAAUAUUGACUUUUCUUUUGUUUGUCAACUUCAAUGUGAUACAAAUACUUACCAGUGAAAGGUACCACAAAAGUGCUUUAUGCUUCCCAUGGGGAAGGGACUCUGUGACAGAAACUUGAGUUUUGUAAUUUAUACGAGGACUUAAAUAUAUAGACAAUAAUUUUCUUCAUCGUUAGAAAUUUUUAAAGUAAAUGAACACCUAUGAUUGUAUGUUUAUUUUUUAAGAAAAAAAAUUUUAAAAACUGAGGAGUCCUGUUCCACAAGCAACCGGUACUGGCUACCCUGGUCUUAUAAUUACAAACUCCUCACAGUUGUCUGCUAUAAAUGCGAAGGAACUUUAUUUUCUCAAGGAAAUAUGAUUUAAUGAGAUAUUCAUGUACAUUUUAGAAGCUUUAUGAAACAAUGUCCUUCAUUUGCUGGCAAGAAGAUAAAAUAUGACAGAACCUGUUUAUUUAUAAUAAAACACAGGUAUAACCGUAUUCUUUUUCAAAAACAUUGAUAAAGCUCUGUCGUUU